rfam:Oryctolagus cuniculus unplaced genomic scaffold chrTn0621, whole genome shotgun sequence.
AGCUUUGCACAGUGGCAGUAUUGUUGCCAAUGUGGUUUAUCCGAGGUGCGAUUAUUGUUAAUUGAAAUCAAGAAACAAAUUGUAAAUGGUUGGAAGCAAUUAAUUCUGGUAGGUGGUAGUUUGCAAUAACCA